AUGGAGAGGAGCCUGGGAGCUGUGCUGGGGCUGCUGUGGGUGCAGGUUUGCUGGGUGAAAGGCAUGCAGGUGGAGCAGAAUCCUCCAUCCCUGAGCCUCCAGGAGGGAGCCGGUUCUGCUCUGAGAUGCAAUUUUUCUCUCACCAUGACAAAUGCUCAGUGGUUCCGACAGAAUCCCGGGGGAAGCCUCAUCAGACUGUUCUUCAUGACUCCGGGAACAAAGGAGAAUGGGAGGUUAAAGUCAAUAUUCGACUCUAAGGAGCGCUACAGCACUCUGCACAUCAGGAACGCCCAGCUGGAGGACUCAGGCACCUACCUCUGUGCUGCUGAUGCACAGUGCUCCCAGCAAGCCUGA